AGAACUCGCGACGCGGGAUGACGUAGUCGGAGAUGCAACGAUGAGGUAACAGGCUCGCGGAAGUCGCGGAGCCGUGAACUUCGUCGUCGUAAAUGUCGUAAGGUCACGGAUGCGCACGUUACGCGUGCCAUGGCAUUUUUCAACGUUAUCAUUAAUGACUUGAAUUUUCUCGAGCGACACGACACGAUCGCGCGAGCGUUUCGCGUGUGCAUGUAUCUACAUUUCGAAACGCUGAAUAAUUCAGAGGACCUCGGUCAACCGCACACUGUUUUGUAACUGUCGGAUUUCGAUCCCGGGUUUCAACAGGCGCCCGCGCAUGUUUUUGUCAUGGCAUCAUUUUACAAAACGAUCUGAACGAUUUCCAUGAUUGACUCCGUGACAUUUAGCUCCAGUGAAAGUAUUUAAUAUUUAUAGGCGCUAGGAAUGAGGAAGCAGACUUGAUUUUGCUCUGAACAUAUGUUCUUAUGCAUUUAUAUUUUCCUUGGAUUUUUUAUAGAGUUUUCUUUGUACCUGAAA